CGGGGACCACCCCGUAAGGCUAAAUACUACCUACCGACCGAUAGUGAACUAGUACCGUGAGGGAAAGGUGAAAAGUACCCCGGGAGGGGAGUGAAAUAGUACCUGAAACCGUGUGCUUACAAACAGUCAGAGGACGUUUAUCGUCUGAUGGCGUGCUUUUUGUAUAACGAACCGGCGAGUUACUGGUAUGCAGCAAGGUUAAGGGAUUACCGGAGCCGUAGCGAAAGCGAGUCUGAAUAGGGCGAAUUUAGUUGUAUGCCGUAGACCCGAAACCGAGUGAGCUACCCAUGGGCAGGGUGAAGCGAGGGUAAGACCUCGUGGAGGCCCGAACCCACUUCGGUUGAAAACGGAGGGGAUGACCUGUGGGUAGGGGUGAAAGGCUAAUCAAACUCGGGAAUAUCUGGUUCUCCCCGAAAUAGCUUUAGGGCUAGCCUCGGGUGUUCAGUUAUGGUGGUAGAGCACUGAAUGAGCUAGGGGCCUUCACCGGUUACCAAUCUCAAUCAAACUCCGAAUGCCAUAACUCUAGAGCCCGGGAGUCAGACUACGGGGGAUAAGCUUCGUGGUCGAAAGGGAAACAGCCCAGACCGUCGGCUAAGGUCCCUAAAUGCAGGCUAAGUGGCAAAGGAUGUGGAGUUGCACAGACAACCAGGAUGUUGGCUUAGAAGCAGCAAUCAUUUAAAGAGUGCGUAACAGCUCACUGGUCAAGUGGUUCUGCGCCGAAAAUGUCCGGGGCUCAAGCCUGCUACCGAAGCCACGGAUCUUCUGGCGAUUUAUCGCCGGGGGAUGGUAGGGGAGCAUUCUCUGUGGAUCGAAGCCGGGACGCGAGUCACGGUGGACCGCAGAGAAGAGAGAAUGCCGGUAUGAGUAGCGAAAGACGGGCGAGAAACCCGUCCGCCGAACACCUACGGUUUCCUGGGGAAGGUUAAUCCGCUCAGGGUUAGUCGGGACCUAAGGCGAGGCCGAGAGGCGUAGUCGAUGGACAACAGGUUUAUAUUCCUGUACCACCAGCACACGCUUGAGCGAAGGGGUGACGGAGAAGGGUAAGUCAACCGCGGCGAUGGUAGACCGCGGACAAGCACGAAGGGGGCCGCGUAGGCAAAUCCGCGCGGUAUUCAAACUCUGAGGUGUGAUGUCGAACCGUUUUUUGGUGAAGUGACCGACCCCAUGCUUCCUAGAAAAGCCUCUAGCGAGUGUCGCUGGUGCCCGUACCAAAACCGACACAGGUAGGUGGGUAGAGAAUACCAAGGCGAUCGAGUUAACCCUCGUUAAGGAACUCGGCAAAUUGAUCCCGUAACUUAGGGAGAAGGGAUGCCCCGGUAGGGUGUAGGAAUCUUCGGACUUCCGAAGCCCGAGGGGGUCGCAGAGAAUAGGCCCAAGCGACUGUUUACUAAAAACACAGGUCUCUGCAAAGUCGUAAGACGACGUAUAGGGGCUGACGCCUGCCCGGUGCUGGAAGGUUAAGGGGAGGGGUUAGCGUUCCGCUUCGGCGGUUCGCGAAGCUCUGAACCAAAGCCCCAGUAAACGGCGGCCGUAACUAUAACGGUCCUAAGGUAGCGAAAUUCCUUGUCAGGUAAGUUCUGACCUGCACGAAUGGCGUAACGACUUGGGCGCUGUCUCAACGAGGGACUCGGCGAAAUUGAACUGCCCGUGAAGAUGCGGGCUACCCGCAACAGGACGGAAAGACCCCGUGAACCUUUACUGCAACCUGAUAUUGGAUCCUGGUACAUUUUGUGCAGGAUAGGUGGGAGACUUUGAAGCGGUGGCGCCAGCCGCCGUGGAGUCAAACUUGGGAUACCACUCUUGAUGUGCUGUGAUCCUAACCGAGAACCGUGAAGCCGGUUCCGGGACAGUGUCUGGUGGGCAGUUUGACUGGGGCGGUCGCCUCCUAAAAUGUAACGGAGGCGCCCAAAGGUUCCCUCAAGCUGGUCGGCAAUCAGCUGAAGAGUGCAAGGGCAUAAGGGAGCUUGACUGCGAGACCUACAAGUCGAGCAGGUACGAAAGUAGGGCCUAGUGAUCCAACGGUUCUGAGUGGAAGGGCCGUUGCUCAACGGAUAAAAGGUACUCCGGGGAUAACAGGCUUAUCUCCCCCAAGAGUCCACAUCGACGGGGAGGUUUGGCA
rnacentral:rRNA from 1 species